UACGUAGGUGGCAAGCGUUGUCCGGAAUUACUGGGCGUAAAGUGUGCGCAGGUGGCCGCGCAAGUCGAGUGUGAAAUCCCCGAGCUUAACUUGGGAAUUGCGCUCGAAACUACGUGGCUCGAGUGUGGCAGAGGAAGGUGGAAUUCCACGUGUAGCGGUGAAAUGCGUAGAUAUGCGGAGGAACACCGAUGGCGAAGGCAAUCCCCUGGGCCUGCACUGACGCUCAUGCACGAAAGCGUGGGGAGCAAACAGG
rnacentral:rRNA from 1 species